UCCCUGGUGGCUCAGUUGGCAGAGAAUCCAUCUGCAAUGUGGGAGACCUGGGUUUGAUUCCUGGCUUGGGAA
rnacentral:tRNA from 1 species